GAAGGAAAAGUGUUGAAUUAAAAUUAUUUAAAGCAAAUAAGUACUUACGGCCAAAAGUGUUGUUCCAAACAUAAGAAAAAUAAAAACUAUCUACGCCCACAGCUUGGGCAAAGCUUAAACUCCAGCAAAAUAAAAUACAUGCGCAGCAGCCGGUCCCUGAAUGGAUUACUCUCCAGGCGGAGCCCUUCGAGUAUUAAUAGAGGCGAUUAGGGCUAGGGAAGGCCCACCCCAUGAUGUUGCGGCUGGAUCCAGAAUCUUGGAGACGCGACCAAAUCUUUAGACCUAAUCUUGAAGAGAUUUAUUUCCUUAUAUGGACGGAGUGCUGGUUUGACCCCGUCGGCCUCUUCUUGGUCGCUGCCACAUUUUGCCCAUAUCAAGCAUCCACACUAAGUUCUUACCUCGUCCGUCUGCUGCGCUCCUCUGACCUUCCUUCUUCCUUUUUCUCCUCUAUGCCUGCUGGAUCCCACGCGGUACUUAUGGACAAAAGACUGGUUUGCCCAACUUGCUGCUUUUCGGACUUUUGAUUCUGAAAUAGCUCAUCAUGCUUUUUAAAUUCCCUUGCAUCAAAAUCAUGCCUCUUUCGUGGAAUGCAGCAACAUCAUGCCCCAGAAGCACAUCUUGCCCAAAGAGCGGGCUUGCCUUAGAACUACGCCCUCCCAUGCGACACGACACCAAUAAAAUAAGAAAAAAGACUCUAUCUAGACCUAAAACAGACACAAAAACAGAGCACAAACUUGGGCUCAUCGUCCCUUCUCUGCAACGAGAAGUG
rnacentral:lncRNA from 1 species